rnacentral:piRNA from 1 species
UGAAAAAUGCUUCUCAAAGCUACAGGUGUGU